rnacentral:rRNA from 1 species
CAAGUCGGGGGAAUCCCAGCAAUGGGGGAACCGGCGUAAGGGGCAGUAAGGCGUGGGUACCUACCCUGGGGUUCGGGAUAGCUGUCCGAGAGGGCAGGUAAUACCGGAUGACCUGGUGACAGCAAAGAUUUAUCGCCCUGGGAGGGGCCCACGUGAUAUUAGGUAGUUGGCGGGGUAACGGCCCACCAAGCCUUAGAUGUCUAGCGGGUGUGAGAGCACGACCCGCGCCACUGGCACUGAGACACUGGCCAGACACCUACGGGUGGCUGCAGUCGAGGAUCUUCGGCAAUGGGCGCAAGCCUGACCGAGCGACGCCGCGUGGGCGAUGAAGGCCUUCGGGUUGUAAAGCCCUGUCGGGGGGGAGAAAAGGGUAAAACUUUGAUCUAUCCCCGGAGGAAGCACGGGCUAAGUUCGUGCCAGCAGCCGCGGUAAGACGAACCGUGCGAACGUUGUUCGGAAUCACUGGGCUUAAAGGGCGCGUAGGCGGGCCUCCAAGUCCGGGGUGAAAGCCUCCAGCCUAACUGGAGAAGCGCCUCGGAGACUGGGGGCCUCGAGGGAGGUAGGGGCAAGCGGAACUAUGGGUGGAGCGGUGAAAUGCAUUGAUAUCCAUAGGAACUCCGGUGGCGAAGGCGGCUUGCUGGACCUCUUCUGACGCUGAGGCGCGAAAGCCAGGGGAGCAAACGGGAUUAGAUACCCCGGCAGUCCUGGCCCUAAACGUUGGGGACUAGGUAGUCGACCAGACAUGGGUUGACUGCCGGAGCAAAAGUGCUAAGUCCCCCGCCUGGGGAGUAUGGU